UAGGCCAUUUAAGUUUUAUAAAUAAAACAGAAAACCCAAAUUUUUCUGGAAAAAAGAACGAGAGAAACACGCUUCAUUCAGGUUCACUCUCAUCUCUCGAUCGACCUUCCUACUCGCCAUUGAAGCAAAUACGGUGGUUCUCAUGAAGCAAAAGCACAACGAUUAUACCUUCAUCCGCAACAUAACCCUAAACCCCAAUUAAGAUUUGGUUGCCGAUUCUGAUGUUGUUCGACUUCGAUACAUCUUCUUCUCCGAUCUGCUUUUCUCCGUCUAUCUUUCUGCGAUUCUGCUGUUGUUGUUCUGCGAUUUGGUUGCCGGUUUGUUCAGGAGUUUGUAAUUGGGAAUCCGGGUGGGCUCUUGAAGUUUUGUUCGUCAUUGUUUACGAGAUUAGGGUUCUUGCUGAAAAGGUAUGAACUUUUUUCUUCCUGUUUUGAUUGAGACUCAAAAUUGAAAUUUGCACCUUUAGGGUUCUUGCUGCAAUGGAAAAAUCUAAAAAUAAACCUUGUUGCAAUGGGUUAAUGUUGCAUUCAGUUCGUGGCAGUGGAUCAUCACGUAAGCAUAGGCAACAGAGCAGAGCAAGUUCUAUAAAUUUGUACAAGAAACUGAGUUACCUGCCAACAAGGUAAAGCUUUCAUUGUAUAUUCGUUAGUUUUUCUACUAAUGAUGCAGAAACAAUUGAAGACUGACAAUGAUGUUGAGCUCUAUGCACUUGGAACGGCUAUUCCAACUAUAUAAUAAUCAUGUCUGAGAUUUUGAAGCGCAAUGGAUGGGCAAUUCAGAAAAGUAAGAUCAUUUCUUUAAUCAUCUUUGAGAUUUCAAUAGAUCCACUCAUAAUUUUAAGCUUCUUUAAUUACUGGAACUAGUUUUCAUGAUACAGGUAUAGUGGCAUCCACUAUUGAGGCUAAGCAAGCAUUAUUUUUAUAAUUGAUUUCAAUGUUUUCUUUCAGACAUUGAGCAGCAAACCGCCUGGAUCUACAAAUGAUUCGACUCUGCGUUAUGAAAAUACGGCAAAGAAUCAGAGUGCUGGUUCAAGCAGAGAUUUCCCACCAUCUUAACCUCGAGAAUCGUCUAUUAUUGAUGAUAACUUUACUCCCCCUCCACCUUCACUAGAUAAAUUAGAAGUUGAUUUGUGCAUUGUUAGAAAGUCAAUUAUGGCCAUCGAGGAGUCACGUUCGGCUGGAGAGAACUAGUUUUCUUAGGGAGC